AACGAACGCUGGCGGCAUGCCUAACACAUGCAAGUCGAACGAUUGCCUUCGGGUGAUAGUGGCGCACGGGUGCGUAACGCGUGGGAAUCUGCCCUUAGGUUCGGAAUAACAGCUGGAAACGGCUGCUAAUACCGGAUGAUAUCGCGAGAUCAAAGAUUUAUCGCCUGAGGAUGAGCCCGCGUUGGAUUAGGUAGGUGGUGGGGUAAAGGCCUACCAAGCCGACGAUCCAUAGCUGGUCUGAGAGGAUGAUAAGCCACACUGGGACUGAGACACGGCCCAGACUCCUACGGGAGGCAGCAGUGGGGAAUAUUGGACAAUGGGCGCAAGCCUGAUCCAGCAAUGCCGCGUGAGUCAUGAAGGCCCUAGGGUUGUAAAGCUCUUUUACCCGGGAAGAUAAUGACUGUACCGGGAGAAUAAGCCCCGGCUAACUCCGUG
rnacentral:rRNA from 1 species